GUGUCAGCAGCCGCGGUAAAACGUAGGAGCCUAGCGUUAUCCGAAUUUACUGGGCGUAAAGCGCGUGCAGGCGGUUCGGUAAGUUGGAUGUGAAAUCUCCUGGCUCAACUGGGAGAGGUCGUUCAAUACUGUCGGACUCGAGGAUGGUAGAGGGAGGUGGAAUUCCCGGUGUAGUGGUGAAAUGCGUAGAUAUCGGGAGGAAUACCAGUGGCGAAGGCGGCCUCCUGGCCCAUUCCUGACGCUCAGACGCGAAAGCUAGGGGAGCGAACGGGAUUAGAUACCCGGGUAGUCC
rnacentral:rRNA from 1 species